rnacentral:rRNA from 1 species
GUAGGGGGCAAGCGUUGUCCGGAUUUAUUGGGCGUAAAGAGCGUGUAGGCGGUUUUACAGGUCCGCUGUGAAAACUCGAGGCUCAACCUCGAGCUGUCGGUGGAAACCGUAAGGCUAGAGUCCGGAAGAGGAGAGUGGAAUUCCUGGUGUAGCGGUGAAAUGCGCAGAUAUCAGGAAGAACACCCGUGGCGAAGGCGGCUCUCUGGGACGGUACUGACGCUGAGACGCGAAAGCGUGGGGAGCGAACAGGAUUAGAUACCCUGGUAGUCCACGCCGUAAACGAUGGGUGCUAGGUGUGGGGGGUGUCAACUCCCCCCGUGCCGAAGCUAACGCAUUAAGCACCCCGCCUGGGGAGUACGGCCGCAAGGCUA